GAGCUUGCCCAUAUGAUCCCACGCACCCUGUCACUCAUGACUGUCCAGCCUUGGGGAAAAUCUCUUGGUGCUGCUGUGUCUUUAUCCUAACCC